CUACGGGAGGCAGCAGUGGGGAAUAUUGCACAAUGGGCGCAAGCCUGAUGCAGCGACGCCGCGUGAGGGAUGAAGGCCUUCGGGUUGUAAACCUCUUUUAGCAGGGAAGAAGCGAAAGUGACGGUACCUGCAGAAAAAGCACCGGCUAACUACGUGCCAGCAGCCGCGGUAAUACGAAGGGGGCUAGCGUUGUUCGGAAUUACUGGGCGUAAAGCGCGCGUAGGUGGUUUGAUAAGCGAGAUGUGAAAGCCCCGGGCUCAAC
rnacentral:rRNA from 16 species